rnacentral:lncRNA from 13 species
AUGAGGCUGGUAAUGCUUCCCGAAGCGCUCCUGUGUCAAUGCACUGUGGAAUGCACAGAAGGGAUUUUUAUUGCACUUUCAGUUGGGCCAUUUUUACUUGGAGCAACGCCACUUGUUUGCUUCUCUUCAAAACAUUGCAUACUGCAAUACCAUAUAUGUGAGUUUCUACAUUUGAAACCCUUGGCUUGUGAUGAGUUUUGUAACACAUUGUAUUUGAUUCACAUGGAUUAUCAACACUUCAUUAAAAAUCUAAAGUAUAUCAGUAUAGGAAGUGAGCUAUUUUUGUAUUUAAAGGUGUGUGUGUGUGUGUGUGUGUGUGUUGACAGGAUCAAGUGGCCAACACAUGGGUGCAGCUUGAACGGCCUGAUAAAGAUCAAGACCAUCCUGUCCACUGAUACCCAGCUCUACCUCGGUUUGGCCACCACUCUCCUGGCUAUCCUACCUAUGUCAAUCAAACUAUUGGUGAACCCUACUCUAUGGCAGUUCAAACUUCCCUUGACCAAGUAUGCCUACUACUGAAUGACCUCCCUCUGCCAGCCAUCUGUUUUUUACAGGCCUCCCUGUUCACUAUGCUGCCAUUGUUACUGAAGGAUGGUCUGUUGGUGCCGUACGUGGUCACCUCCCUGGCCUUCCUGUUCGUCAGCGUAUACCUGCUUUUCCACCCUUGGAGCAUUGCUCAGAAGACGAGCUGCGUCUGGGGCCCUACCACCGCCCCAUCCGUAUGCCCAGCAUGGACCUCGGAAGGGUCACCAAGUGGAAA